AAGCAGCAAGUCUGUCGGCGAGUCAAAUGCUUGCCGGCUCAAGGACAAGCUGUGACGGGUAUGAACGAUUUAUCGUUCUAAGUGAGUGACGUCACACUGCCAAGAAAAGCUUCUAGUUAGAAUCAGACCGCCCGUACCGCAGACCGACACAGGUAGUCGGGUCGAGAAGACCAAGGUGAGCGAGAGAACUCUCGUUAAGGAACUCGGCAAAAUGACCCCGUAACUUCGGGAGAAGGGGUGCUGAUCGCAAGAUCAGCCGCAGUGAAUAGGCCCAGGCGACUGUUUAUCAAAAACACAGGUUUCUGCAAAAUCGUAAGAUGAAGUAUAGGGGCUGACGCCUGCCCGGUGCUGGAAGGUUAAGAGGAUGGGUUAGCGCAAGCGAAGCUCAGAAUUGAAGCCCCAGUAAACGGCGGCCGUAACGAUAACGGUCCUAAGGUAGCGAAAUUCCUUGUCGGGUAAGUUCCGACCCGCACGAAAGGCGUAACGAUCUGGGCACUGUCUCAACGAGAGACUCGGUGAAAUUAUAAUACCCGUGAAGAUGCGGGUUACCCGCGACAGGACGGAAAGACCCCAUGGAGCUUUACUGUAGCUUGAUAUUGGGUGUUUGUACAACUUGUACAGGAUAGGUAGGAGCCGUAGAAGUCGGGACGCUAGUUUCGACGGAGGCAUCGGUGGGAUACUACCCUCGUUGUAUGAACACUCUAACCCACGCCGGCAAUCACGGCGGGAGACAGUGUCAGGUGGGCAGUUUGACUGGGGCGGUCGCCUCCUAAAAGGUAACGGAGGCGCCCAAAGGUUCCCUCAGAAUGGUUGGAAAUCAUUCGCAGAGUGUAAAGGCAUAAGGGAGCUUGACUGCGAGACCUACAAGUCGAGCAGGGACGAAAGUCGGGCUUAGUGAUCCGGUGGUUCCGCAUGGAAGGGCCAUCGCUCAACGGAUAAAAGCUACCCUGGGGAUAACAGGCUUAUCUCCCCCAAGAGUCCACAUCGACAGGGAGGUUUGGCACCUCGAUGUCGGCUCAUCGCAUCCUGGGGCUGUAGUCGGUCCCAAGGGUUGGGCUGUUCGCCCAUUAAAGCGGUACGCGAGCUGGGUUCAGAACGUCGUGAGACAGUUCGGUCCCUAUCCGUCGCGGGCGCAGGAAAUUUGAGAGGAUCUGUCCUUAGUACGAGAGGACCGGGAUGGACAUACCGCUGGUGUACCAGUUGUUCUGCCAAGGGCAUCGCUGGGUAGCUAUGUAUGGAUGAGAUAAACGCUGAAAGCAUCUAAGUGCGAAACUCACCUCGAGAUGAGAUUUCCCACUCCUUUAUGGAGUUAAGACCCCUGAGAGAUGAUCAGGUAGAUAGGAUGGAAGUGGAAGUGCGGCGACGCAUGGAGCGGACCAUUACUAAUCGGUCGAGGACUUAACC
rnacentral:rRNA from 1 species